rnacentral:rRNA from 1 species
AUGAACACGGACUCGGAGACCACCAAGACCGCGUGCAAAGAUAUUCUGCAGAAAAAUUCAAAGAACAGACGCCAUCAGAUCAAGAAGAAGUAUUUUGAUACCGUAGCCGCAAAUAAAGUUAGCAUUAAGUCUCCCGUGCUUGAUCUGACAGAUGGUGAAUGGCAAGCUCUGGUGGAGAUGUGGUCUACCCCAAGACACAAGGAAACCUGUGUGUCGAACAAGAUUAAUCGAGAAAAAGUCGUGUACAAUCAGAGAACUGGUUCCAGAAAGAAGAGCGUAAUGGUGAGGAGCUGUCUGCGAUUGACUUGUUUAAGGCCACCCACAACAACAAGAAGCACGGGUUUUCAGAGUCAGUUAAGACUGCUAUACUUGAGAUGGAAAAAAUGA